GACGAACGCUGGCGGCGUGCUUAACACAUGCAAGUCGAACGGAAAGGCCCUGCUUUUGUGGGGUGCUCGAGUGGCGAACGGGUGAGUAGCACGUGAGUAACCUGCCCUUGACUUUGGGAUAACUUCAGGAAACUGGGGCUAAUACCGGAUAGGAGCUCCUGCUGCAUGGUGGGGGUUGGAAAGUUUCGGCGGUUGGGGAUGGACUCGCGGCUUAUCAGCUUGUUGGUGGGGUAGUGGCUUACCAAGGCUUUGACGGGUAGCCGGCCUGAGAGGGUGACCGGCCACAUUGGAACGGAGAUACGGCCCAGACUCCACGGGAGGCAGCAGUGGGGAAUAUUGCACAAUGGGCGGAAGCCUGAUGCAGCAACGCCGCGUGCGGGAUGACGGCCUUCGGGUUGUAAACCGCUUUCGCCUGUGACGAAGCGUGAGUGACGGUAAUGGGUAAAGAAGCACCGGCUAACUACGUG
rnacentral:rRNA from 1 species